rnacentral:rRNA from 1 species
UGCGCAGGCGGUUAUAUAAGACAGAUGUGAAAUCCCCGGGCUCAACCUGGGAACUGCAUUUGUGACUGUAUAGCUAGAGUACGGCAGAGGGGGAUGGAAUUCCGCGUGUAGCAGUGAAAUGCGUAGAUAUGCGGAGGAACACCGAUGGCGAAGGCAAUCCCCUGGGCCUGUACUGACGCUCAUGCACGAAAGCGUAGGGAGCAAACA